rnacentral:rRNA from 1 species
CUACGGGCGGCAGCAGUGGGGAAUAUUGCACAAUGGAGGAAACUCUGAUGCAGCAACGCCGCGUGGAGGAUGACACUUUUCGGAGCGUAAACUCCUUUUAUAUAGGAAGAAGAUGACGGUACUAUAUGAAUAAGCGCCGGCUAACUCCGUGCCAGCAGGCGCGGUAAUACGGAGGGCGCAAGCGUUACUCGGAAUCACUGGGCGUAAAGAGCGUGUAGGCGGAUUAAAAAGUCAGAAGUGAAACCCUAUAGCUUAACUAUAGAACUGCUUCUGAAACUCUUAAUCUAGAAUAUGGGAGAGGUAGAUGGAAUUUCUGGUGUAGGGGUAAAAUCCGUAGAGAUCAGAAGGAAUACCGAUUGCGAAGGCGAUCUACUAGAACAUUAUUGACGCUGAGACGCGAAAGCGUGGGGAGCAAACAGGAUUAGAUACCCCUGUAGUC